GGUAAGGUAGAAUACUAAGGGCACCUGGUGGAUGCCUCGGCACGGGGAGGCGAUGAAGGACGUGGUAAGCUGCGAUAAGCCCGGGGGAGGUGCAAACAACCGUUGAUCCCGGGAUCUCCGAAUGGGGAAACCCCUCCGCCUCAAAGGCGGAGAUCCCGCAGCAAUGCGGGAGGCGACACCGGGGGAAGUGAAACAUCUCAGUACCCCGAGGAAAAGAAAGCAAAAGCGAUUCCCUGAGUAGCGGCGAGCGAAAGGGGAGUAGCCUAAACUCGUGGGCGCGUAAAAGCGGGUGCGCGUUGCGCCCAGGGGGUAGUGGGGCCCUUCCGGAGCCUAGCACCCACGGGCUCGGGGAGUUACAAAACCCACAGUUAGCCGAAUCCUCCUGGAAAGGGGAGCCAAAGAGGGUGACAGCCCCGUAGGCGAAAACUGUGGGUCUCCCUGGGAAGGGUACCCGAGUAGCACCGGACACGUGGAAUCCGGUGUGAAUCUGGGAGGACCACCUCCUAAGGCUAAAUACUACCCCGUGACCGAUAGUGAACGUAGUACCGUGAGGGAAAGGUGAAAAGAACCCCUGGCGGGGAGUGAAAUAGAACCUGAAACCAGGUGCCUACAAGCAGUCGGAGCCUGAGUAGCUUCAAUUUGUUGGAGCUACUCGGGUGACGGCGUGCCUUUUGCAGCAUGAGCCGGGGAGUUACUCUCGGGAGCGAGGUUAACCCACGAUAGUGGGGGAGCCGUAGCGAAAGCGAGUCCUAACAGGGCGCUUAGUUCCCGGGAGUAGACCCGAAGCCGGGUGAGCUACCCAUGGGCAGGGUGAAGUCCCGGUAACACGGGAUGGAGGCCCGAACCGGUGGGUGAUGCAAAACCCUCGGAUGACCUGUGGGUAGGAGUGAAAAGCUAACCGAACCCGGUGAUAGCUGGUUCUCCCCGAAAUAUAUUUAGGUAUAGCCUCAGGGAUGAGUGGCGGAGGUAGAGCACUGAUGGGACAAGGGGGGUAAUACCUACCGAGUCCCGUCAAACUCCGAAUGCCGCCACUUGAACCCUGGGAGUCAGGGGGUGGGGGAUAACCUCCAUUCCCGAGAGGGGAACAACCCAGACCCCAAGCUAAGGUCCCUAAGUGGGGGCUAAGUGGUAAAGGAGGUGGAGUUGCUCAGACAGCCAGGAUGUUGGCUUAGAGGCAGCCAUCAUUUAAAGAGUGCGUAACAGCUCACUGGUCGAGCAACUCUGCGCCGAAAAUGUACCGGGGCUUAAGCCCCCCACCGAAGCUGGGGACUCCGCCAUCGGCGGAGUGGUAGGGGAGCGUUCCUACCUGGUUGAAGCCUCGACGUGAGUCGAGGUGGACGGGUAGGAAGUGAGAAUCCCGGCGUGAGUAGCGUCAAGACGGGUGAGAAUCCCGUCCGCCGUAAGCCCAAGGUUUCCGUGGGCAAGGCUCAUCCGCCCAGGGUAAGCCGGCCCCUAAGGCGAGGCCGUAAGGCGUAGCCGAUGGGAAGCGGGUUAAUAUUCCCGCGCCACCUGGGUCGCGCUAUUACUCCUGGGGUGACGCCCGAGCUGGGGCCAGCCCCGAGCUGGAAUUCGGGGUCCAAGCCUGAGGGGAUAACCUUCAGGUGAUGGGGAGGCUCAAGCCGAACUGGUCCGAUCCUCGGGACAAGAAAUAGCCUCAGGAGGAGUGGCUCAGGUGACCGUACCGGAAACCGACACUGGUGGGCGAGGGUAAUACCCAAAGGCGAGCGGGCUAACCUCGGCCAAGGAACUCGGCAAACUCGCCCCGUAACUUCGGGAGAAGGGGUGCCUCGCGUAGGGCGUAGUCCCAUCGUUAGGUGGGAUGAAGCCCGAGGAGGCCGCAGUUAAGAGGGCCUGGCGACUGUUUAACAAAAACACAGGUCUCUGCUAAGGCGAAAAGCCGAUGUAUAGGGACUGACGCCUGCCCAGUGCCGGAAGGUGAAGGGGAGGGGUGCAAGCCCCGACCUGAAGCCCCGGUAAACGGCGGCCCUAACUCUGAGGGUCCUAAGGUAGCGAAAUUCCUUGUCGGGUAAGUUCCGACCUGCAUGAAUGGCGUAACGACUGGGCCGCUGUCUCGGCCGAGGGCCCGGUGAAAACGAACUGGCCGUGAAGAUGCGGCCUACCCGCGGCAGGACGGAAAGACCCCGUGGACCUUUACUGCAGUCUGGUAUUGUAUCUUGGCAUAUCCUGUGCAGGAUAGGUGGGAGGCUAUGAAGUCCCGCCGCCAGGCGGGAUGGAGCCGCCGGUGAGAUACCACCCUGGAUAUGUCGAGGUACUAACCUCGGGUGUGCAACUCGAGGGACAGUGCCAGGCGGGCAGUUUGACUGGGGCGGUCGCCUCCUAAAAGGUAACGGAGGCGCCCAAAGGUCCCCUCAGCACGGACGGCAACCGUGCGUGGAGUGUAAGGGCAUAAGGGGGCCUGACUGUGAGGCCGACAGGCCGAGCAGGGGCGAAAGCCGGGCCUAGUGAUCCCGUGGCUCCGUGUGGAAGGGCCACCGCUCAUCGGACAAAAGGUACCCCGGGGAUAACAGGCUAGUCUCCCCCGAGAGUCCACAUCGACGGGGAGGUUCGGCACCUCGAUGUCGGCCCAUCGCAUCCUGGGGCUGGACAAGGUCCCAAGGGUUGGUCUGUUCGCCCAUUAAAGCGGUACGCGAGCUGGGUUCAGACCGUCGUGAGACAGGUCGGUCCUUAUCCGCCGCGGGCGUAGGAGACUUGAGGGGAGCUGCCCCUAGUACGAGAGGACCGGGGUGGGGGGGCCUCUGGUGUACCAGCUGUCGCGCCAGCGGCACCGCUGGGUAGCUAUGCCCCUAAGGGAUAACCGCUGAAAGCAUCUAAGCGGGAAGCCCUCCCCAAGAU
rnacentral:rRNA from 1 species